AGACAGCAGUCGCCACGGGAAUACAGAGGGUGCGAGCGUUAAUCGGAUUUACUGGGCGUAAAGCGUGCGUAGGCGGCUUCUUAAGUCGGAUGUGAAAUCCCGGAGCUUAACUUAGGAAUUGCAUUCGAUACUGGGAAGCUAGAGUAUGGGAGAGGAUGGUAGAAUUCCAGGUGUAGCGGUGAAAUGCGUAGAGAUCUGGAGGAAUACCGAUGGCGAAGGCAGCCAUCUGGCCUAAUACUGACGCUGAGGUACGAAAGCAUGGGGAGCAAACAGGAUUAGAUACCCCAGUAGUCCCUGUCUCUUAUAC
rnacentral:rRNA from 1 species